GAAACUACGCCUACCAUGAAGACUGGAGUUGCUGUAAUCGCGAAUCAGCAUGUCGCGGUGAAUAACGUUCCCCGGGCCCUUGUACACACCGCCCGUCACACCAUGAGAGUCGGUAACACCCGAAGUCUGUAGCCUGACGCAAGAGGGCGCAGCCGAAGGUGGGAUUGAUGACUGGGGUGAAGUCGUAACAAGGUACC
rnacentral:rRNA from 1 species